rnacentral:rRNA from 1 species
GGGAUAACCCGAGGAAACUCAGGCUAAUACCGCAUGACCUCUACGGAGUAAAGUGGGGGAUCUUUUGACCUCGCGCUAUAAGAUGAGCCUAUGUCGGAUUAGCUUGUUGGUAGGGUAAUUGCCUACCAAGGCAACGAUCCGUAGCUGAUCUGAGAGGAUGAUCAGCCACACUGGGACUGAGACACGGCCCAGACUCCUACGGGAGGCAGCAGUGGGGAAUCUUGGACAAUGGGGGAAACCCUGAUCCAGCAAUGCCGCGUGUGUGAAGAAGGCCUUAGGGUUGUAAAGCACUUUCAGUGGGGAAGAAGUUCUCAAAAGUAAUAUGCUUGAGAACCGACGUUACCUACAGAAGAAGCACUGGCUAACUCUGUGCCAGCAGCCGCGGUAAUACAGAGAGUGCAAGCGUUAAUCGGAAUUACUGGGCGUAAAGCGCACGUAGGUGGAUAUUUAAGUCGGAUGUGAAAGCCCCAAGGCUUAACCUGGGAAUUGCAUCCGAUACUGGAUGUCUCGAGUAUGGUAGAGGGAAGUGGAAUUUCCGGUGUAGCGGUGAAAUGCGUAGAUAUCGGAAAGAACACCAGUGGCGAAGGCGGCUUCCUGGACCAAUACUGACACUGAGGUGCGAAAGCGUGGGGAGCAAACAGGAUUAGAGACCCUGGUAGUCCACGCCGUCAACGAUGAGAACUAGCUGUUGGGAAAGUAAACUUUCCAGUAGCGAAGCUAACGCGUUAAGUUCUCCGCCUGGGGAGUACGGCCGCAAGGUUAAAACUCAAAGAAAUUGACGGGGGCCCGCACAAGCGGUGGAGCAUGUGGUUUAAUUCGAUGCAACGCGAAAAACCUUACCUACCCUUGACAUCCUCGGAACUUGUCAGAAAUGACUUGGUGCCUUCGGGAACCGAGUGACAGGUGCUGCAUGGCUGUCGUCAGCUCGUGUCGUGAGAUGUUGGGUUAAGUCCCGUAACGAGCGCAACCCUUGUCCUUAGUUGCCAGCGGGUUCAGCCGGGAACUCUAAGGAGACUGCCGGUGAUAAACCGGAGGAAGGUGGGGAUGAUGUCAAGUCAUCAUGGCCCUUAAGGGUAGGGCUACACACGUGCUACAAUGGGCAGUACAGAGGGUUGCCAAACCAUGAGGUGGAGCCAAUCCCAGAAAGCUGCUCGUAGUCCGGAUUGAAGUCUGCAACUCGACUUCAUGAAGUUGGAAUCGCUAGUAAUCGCGAAUCAGAAUGUCGCGGUGAAUACGUUCUCGGGCCUUGUACACACCGCCCGUCACACCAUGGGAGUG